AUUGAACGCUGGCGGCAUGCCUUACACAUGCAAGUCGAACGGCAGCACGGAGCUUGCUCUGGUGGCGAGUGGCGAACGGGUGAGUAAUAUAUCGGAACGUACCCAAGAGUGGGGGAUAACGUAGCGAAAGUUACGCUAAUACCGCAUACGAUCUAAGGAUGAAAGCAGGGGACCGCAAGGCCUUGUGCUCCUGGAGCGGCCGAUAUCUGAUUAGCUAGUUGGUGAGGUAAAGGCUCACCAAGGCAUCGAUCAGUAGCUGGUCUGAGAGGACGACCAGCCACACUGGAACUGAGACACGGUCCAGACUCCUACGGGAGGCAGCAGUGGGGAAUUUUGGACAAUGGGGGCAACCCUGAUCCAGCAAUGCCGCGUGAGUGAAGAAGGCCUUCGGGUUGUAAAGCUCUUUUGUCAGGGAAGAAACGGUGAAGGCUAAUAUCCUUUGCUAAUGACGGUACCUGAAGAAUAAGCACCGGCUAACUACGUGCCAGCAGCAGCCGCGGUAA
rnacentral:rRNA from 1 species